UUUUUAAUAAUAAAUUUUUUUAAUAAAUAUAAAAUAUUUAAAAAAAUGAUAUGAAAAUGGAUAGCUAUCAAGUACACUAUUUCAACAAAGAUACAUGAAUCUAACAAAGAUAGGCAAGAAACCUUUUUAAUUUAAUAUUAUUUUUGAAUGGAAGUGCAGAAAAGUAAUUAUCCUAAAAGAAGGGCCAUGAAACUGAUUAAAUCACUGAGAUAAUGCUUGGCAAUAUUGUUUAUCAUGUCAAGCAAGAGCAGAAUAGGAA
rnacentral:lncRNA from 1 species